UUAACCCAAUCGCAUCAAAAUGAAAAUAACGUAUGUCCUUCCGUAUUUAUAACUUGGUCGUGGGCGGCGCGGCGUAUAGUCCAGUGUCCAGUGGAUUAGUCCAGCGAUCAGUUGCCCAAUCAGUCCAGUUGACCGUCGCCAUGCCUAACGCGGAGACCACCAACCUGAUCGCCACGUACCUCAUCCUCGUGCUGCUGUUAGCAAGCCUAUGGCUAUUGUACUCUGGAUUAUUCUAAAACUAUGUUCGGCUCACAAGCAAGACGAGGGGCGGCUAACUUUAAGAAACCGUAAUCUUAAUAAGUUAAGUUAAGCAAUGUAAGCAUUUAGAAAGAACAAUUAAGAAGGAAGAACAGAGGGAUGGCACCAACAGGAGAGAAGUGCAGGGCAUUCCAAAUAAUACGUGAAGAGAGAAAGACAUCACAACUCUAGAGAAAGAAAACUCCGAUUUUGUUAGGCAAGAGAUUUGUAAUAAAGUUUUUUUUUAA